UGCUGUCGUAGCUCAGCUGGUAGAGCACGGAAAAAACAGGUCUUGACAAAGACCUUAACAGCAAUCAAAAACACCUGUUAAGUGCGUUGUCGCAGGUUCGAAUCCUGCCGCAGCGG
rnacentral:tRNA from 1 species